CUCCUCCUCCCCCUCGCCGCUCCAUUCAGUGCGGCGGCAGCUCGCGGGGCUGGGCCGGCCGCGCCGGGCGAGCCCCGGCCCCGGGGCAGGCGAGCAGCGCGGCCCGGCCCCGGCGCGAGCCUGGCCCCGCUUCUCCCCACCGGCGCGGCGAGCCUCGCCUCGCCUCGCCUCGCCCCGCCCGGCGGCGGCGGGGAUGGGCGCGGGCACGGCCCCGGCCCCGGCCCGGGGCGCGGCAGCCGCCGCUCGCCCGCCCGCCCGCAGACAAACCAACGUUUCGGCAAUGUGUUCUGCAACACAGAUGCUGCGUACCGGCACCGCUGCGGGGAAGCUGUCUGCUUGCUGGUCCUGGCCAGUCUGUUUGCUCACACAUUCCCACGGACGACCUGCAACGAGUUCAUACCCCCGCCAUCUUCUGUGUUUUUAGCAUUAGCGCCUUUCAGUCAUUUCUGGGACACCGCAAGGAUCGAUGCUAUGCUGCCCUGCGUAGCCUCCUUAUACUGAAUACAGAAUAUUGUCACGUACAACUAAAACUGGACGGGGAGUAGCUGCAAACGCCCCUUGAGAGCAAACAAGCCACGAAAGGAAACAACGGGGGACAGAAAUACAGGCAGGAAACGUCACCAUGAGAGAUGGCUCAAAUAUUCAGAGGCACGAAACAAAUAAUAAUCUGAAACUAGUGUUCAGUGAAAAGAAAAAAGUUCAGAAGAAACAACAGCAAAAAGACCAACAGAAAUCAUGCAGAGCAAAACUGCUAUAUGUUGGCAAUGCAAUAUGGUAGCCGUGUCUCCGAACCACCAGGCUUAAGGGAACACGGAGACAGUACCAGUGCCCGUAGUUACAUUGCCUAGCACAACGAGAACCUUAUGCAUUACAAUCAUACAGGUAGCAGAAACAGCAAAUGCUUCAGUAUCAGAAAAAUGAAUUAAAAAAAUCAAGGAACGGUAGAGAAACGGAGGAUGCAGGGUUUGCCUUGUAAGGAAAGAUCAUGGGAAUACAUUCUCCAGACCUUGACCACACAACGCAUAGUCAACACAAGGAGAUACGCAUACACACGGCAUGCGCCAGAUGUUUUGUCGCUGGAUGUUUCGGAAGAGGUCCUUUUCGGGAAGAGGGAAAGCAUGUGCCCCUGCCUAGGAUCAGGCCUCAGUCGCUGCAGCUAACUUACACUCUCUGCACCCUUUCGCAACCCAGAAAGGACCGCAGCUUGGUAAUUCAUGUCCGCAGCUCUGUAAUUCAUGUCUUCUCUCAGUAACUAGGCAAAUUCCACACCUGAAUUUACAACCUAGCACUCCAGGUUCAUUAUAUUCAAAACAGCACUUACGUGUCAGACCCCCAGGCUGCCACUAGGGCCCGAGACGACCGCAGAGAUGUAAAGCUAACACUGGAGGCCAACCAAUGACAUUGAUGAGGUAUUUUGGAUCGCAUGCUAAAAUGUGAUACUGCUACCAAGAUGCAGGAUACAAGAGAGUCCAUUUGAAAAGGACUGCACAAGUGAUCCCACACGAUUACGCUGGUCUUCAAGCGCUAGACAGCACUAAGUCUUUGGCCACCAAAGUCACUCUUGAAAAGGGUUCCCUUACUUGCAGUCUGUAAGACUACAAGAAAGCCUUACAGGUCCAGGCUACCCCUCAAGCUCCCCCAGCUAUCCAGAUACAAGGACCGACACGCCUGAGCAUCUUUUGGAGCCCAUCCUUUACAGCGACUGCAUGGCUGGAUCUACCUGCUCGUAAAGCCUUCAUCUCCGCGCGGUGCCAUGCAGGCGCAGGCCGUCCCGUCCCCACCUCGGCACAGCGCCCAGCUCCCCACGCGCGCUCGGAGCCCGGCCCCGGGCACCACAAACAGGGGCAGCAUUUCAGCAGGGCAGAUGCAGCGCUCACGCCGCGGCACAAAGUCAGGCCCUGGAGAGAGCAGCUGCGGGAGCAGGCGCAGCACGAGGCACCACGCACUGCAGUGCUGGAGCCCUCUUUCCUCCCGGUAAAACCAGUCUGGCUUAAUGACUUUACAGAUGUUACACAGUGCGUUCUUCCGCUAAGUGCUGCAUUUAUUCCAAUCAAUUUUUUGGGAGAUAAAAUGUAGGAGGUCAGGCUAAGAUCCCACUAUAACCAAAAAGUUCUUUGUAAGUAAUAAGGAAAAAAAAAGGAAAAAGAAGCAACGACAAUGAAAAAUAAUACUUUGCAUUUUUAGAGUACUUUCUACCACAUUCCUACAUCUUCAAUACCACAAAACCUAGAGACCUCCAUCACAUAUGCCUUGUGGCACUUGUCCAAAGUGGGUACACAGCAAUACCAUAGUGAGCUGGGACCUGUCUUUUGCAGAGAAGUGACCAUGCCCAAAAUCUCACAAAAGCAAAACUGACCUAAAGUUUGUUAAAAUGUAAAUCUCUGGCCAUCACUUUUCCUUUUCAGCUAUUUACAAAUCAGAAUUUCUGUCUCUGUAAAGUCUCCAAAACCAGUCACCUGGGAACUCAUGUCCUUGCUGCUUAUUAAUUUUUUCCGGACUGCCUUAGGCUGUUUUGAAAGCCUCAGCUAUUAAAAUACCUAUCUUGCAAUCAGCUCCAGGCAGGAGUAGGAGUCUUUCCACACAAAACACUUUGCAGCAUUGGGCCUAUGGCCUGGACUUUCAAAGGAUUUUAGCUGCCUAAAGAGGCAGAUAAGGGCGUAGGGGGAUUUUCAAAAGCUCCUAAUUUUUGGUGCUACAUGUCUAUUAAUUUUUGCUAAUUCAGUAAGUUACUGCAAAACUUUUGGAAAGCUGUCUCUGGAUGCUCAGUUUGCACAGAGAUCAAACUCUCUGAAAGUUUCAACAUUUUCUACUUUUUCAUGUUUUCAUCUCCUUUGGGCAGUUAUUAGAAAUCAUUGGAAAAAAUGCUAGCUUCAAAGGUAGUUUUCAAACACAUACCUGUAAAAGAAAGACAUAUACCACAAACACAACAUAAAGGCUUGACAGAGAAAUAUCUAUGGCCUGGAGUACGAGGUAAAAUGACAUGACCAUAGUGAUGAUUUCUAUCUUUAAAAAGCUAAAAAAAAAAAAAAAAAAAAAAAAAACCAAAAUCAUUUGGACUUACGUUGCUGCAUGUAAGUCUAGUACUGAACUUCUUUGCACUUGCUUUACAAAGGCAAGUCUCUUAAUACCAGUAGCACUGUUGUUUAUACCAGCACAAUAGUGGACUCUGACCCCAAACGUAAAAUAUCAAGUAACAGUAGACAAAAAGCUGAUUAAAUUACGGUCAUCUACAACCAGAUACAUACUUCUGAACUCUUGCCUGUACUUGUCUACUGUAUUUACAAUACAGUAUACAACACAACAACAACAGACCUAUGGAGAUUAAAGUCUGUCUCCCAGAAACGUUAUGGAAGCUAGCUAGCUGACUGCACGUUUGGCUCUGGUCUCCAGUUUGUAGGCUAUAUUUUUUCCGUGGGGGUACUGGCGUUGUCUGAUGCCAUGACUGCAGCUUCUUGUUUUGUUUGGAAUACACCAAGCACAUUAUGGAAUACACCUAACACAUUACAAUCUUGUUCCUUGUAAUAAAUUAUGUGGAGUUUGCUGUUAUGGGGGAAAGAUGAUGUAGACAUGUAAAAACACUACUUAGCAUUAGUGCUGACUACUUUCAGAGUUAAUUAAAUGUUUUUGUUGCCUUUACAAAUACUGAUAACAUGGAAAAUUUUCUCAUAGAACAGGAAAAGGGCGUUUUGUGUUACUUCCAGUGCACAGAAAGUGGGAUUUUUUUUCUCUGUGUAAGAUAAUCCUUUUCUAUGGUUUGUAAAGCUACUCAAAGAUAAAAUUUAGUGCAGCAUCCAACCCCUAAAAAGGGUUCAGAUCAGUGAGUAGACAGAGAUCUACAACUUGCAACUGCCCAUUACAGUUAGGAUUAGGAAGAAAGAAAUUGUCAGAUAUGCAAUGUUUCAGCUUAAGCAAACCCUACUCUAUAGUGUGAGUAUCUUGAGCAUUUCCAAGCCCCACUGCAGUGUGGAGGAGCUAGCAGGCAGUUCGAUAGAACUGCUGGAAAGUCCCUGAAGGACCUUGAACGACGAGAAGAGAGAAAGAAGGGUGUUUGCACAAGGCGAAAAUGGGGAAGUAAGAAGCAGAGAAAGACAAAGUCAGUGUCCUACUAAUCCAGCCCAUGUGCCGCGUGUCCCUGUAGCUUAACCCAAUUGUAGGCUAGAGCUAGACGUACGGACAAUGAUCUUUAGCAAAUCACAAGUAAGAAAGAUUACGUAUGAAAAAUCUGUAUGGGUAUAAGUAUACGUGUAAAACCUCAAUAAAGGGUCUUCUGAUUCACCCGCA